rnacentral:lncRNA from 1 species
GGGCAAGGUUAUGUUCAGAAGCCCAGAUAGAAGCCAGCCUAUUCCACAAAAAGAAAGAGAGCACUGGAAGGGGGUCCAUUGGAAGAGUCAGGACUGUCAGGAAAAGAGUGAGGACGAAUGUGGUGAUGCUUGCAAAAUCAAGACCCACUGUAACUGCCACCUGUCGCUUGGGCAAGUGCAAAGCCUCAGUGCCACCAAGCCCCGCGCUUCAGGAGAACCAGUUCGCCCUGGAAGAGCUAACAACGGCGGAACUGAUAGAAACUACUCAAUCAGUAGUCUCCAUAUUGGAUGGUGACUGGACGAGCCAAUGAAACCCUCUCUCCUUGGGAAGGUUGGAGGAAUGUGAAGAAGGUUCUGAGAAGCCCGUGAGACAACCACUUCCCCAUCUGUGCUGGGGCCCUUCUGCAGCAGGGGUGAGCACU